GACGAACGCUGGCGGCGUGCCUAAUACGUGCAAGUUGAGCGCUGAAGGUUGGUACUUGUUCUACCUGGAUGAGCUGCGAACGGGUGAGUAACGCGUGGGGAACCUGCCUUUGAGCGGGGGACAACAUUUGGAAACGAAUGCUAAUACCGCAUAAAAACUUUAAACACAAGUUUUAUGUUUGAAAGAUGCAAUUGCAUCACUAAAAGAUGAUCCCGCGUUGUAUUAGCUAGUUGGUGAGGUAAAGGCUCACCAAGGCGACGAUACAUAGCCGACCUGAGAGGGUGAUCGGCCACAUUGGGACUGAGACACGGCCCAGACUCCUACGGGAGGCAGCAGUAGGGAAUCUUCGGCAAUGGACGAAAGUCUGACCGAGCAACGCCGCGUGAGUGAAGAAGGUUUUCGGAUCGUAAAACUCUGUUGGUAGAGAAGAACGUUGGUGAGAGUGGAAAGCUCAUCAAGUGACGGUAACUACCCAGAAAGGGACGGCUAACUACGUG
rnacentral:rRNA from 1 species